UACGUAGGGUGCGAGCGUUAAUCGGAAUUACUGGGCGUAAAGCGUGCGCAGGCGGUUCGUUGUGUCUGCUGUGAAAUCCCCGGGCUCAACCUGGGAAUGGCAGUGGAAACUGGCGAGCUUGAGUGUGGCAGAGGGGGUGGAAUUCCGCGUGUAGCAGUGAAAUGCGUAGAGAUGCGGAGGAACACCGAUGGCGAAGGCAGCCCCCUGGGCCAAUACUGACGCUCAGGCACGAAAGCGUGGGGAGCAAACAGG
rnacentral:rRNA from 1 species